UGGGGAAUAUUGCACAAUGGGCGCAAGCCUGAUGCAGCCAUGCCGCGUGUGUGAAGAAGGCCUUCGGGUUGUAAAGCACUUUCAGCGAGGAGGAAGGUGGUGAACUUAAUACGUUCAUCAAUUGACGUACUCGCAGAAGAAGCACCGGCUAACUCCGUGCCAGCAGCCGCGGUAAUACGGAGGGUGCAAGCGUUAAUCGGAAUUACUGGGCGUAAAGCGCACGCAGGCGGUUUGUUAAGUCAGAUGUGAAAUCCCCGGGCUCAACCUGGGAACUGCAUUUGAAACUGGCAAGCUAGAGUCUCGUAGAGGGGGGUAGAAUUCCAGGUGUAGCGGUGAAAUGCGUAGAGAUCUGGAGGAAUACCGGUGGCGAAGGCGGCCCCCUGGACGAAGACUGACGCUCAGGUGCGAAAGCGUGGGGCAGCAAACAGGAUUAGAUACCCUGGUAGUCCACGCUGUAAACGAUGUCGAUUUGGAGGUUGUGCCCUUGAGGCGUGGNUUCCGGAGCUAACG
rnacentral:rRNA from 1 species